rnacentral:rRNA from 1 species
CGUUCAGUUGGGCACUCUAGCGAGACUGCCGGUAAUAAACCGGAGGAAGGUGGGGAUGACGUCAAAUCAUCAUGCCCCUUAUGACCUGGGCUACACACGUGCUACAAUGGUUGGUACAACGAGUUGCGAGUCGGUGACGGCGAGCUAAUCUCUUAAAGCCAAUCUCAGUUCGGAUUGUAGGCUGCAACUCGCCUACAUGAAGUCGGAAUCGCUAGUAAUCGCGGAUCAGCACGCCGCGGUGAAUACGUUCCCGGGCCUU